GAGGGUAUAGCUCAGUGGUAGAGUGUGUGCUUAGCAUGCAUGAAGUCCUGGGUUCAAUCCCCAGUACCUCUG
rnacentral:tRNA from 1 species